AGCAGCCGCGGUAAUACGGAGGGGGCUAGCGUUGUUCGGAAUUACUGGGCGUAAAGCGCACGUAGGCGGCUUUGUAAGUUAGAGGUGAAAGCCCGGGGCUCAACUCCGGAAUUGCCUUUAAGACUGCAUCGCUAGAAUUGUGGAGAGGUGAGUGGAAUUCCGAGUGUAGAGGUGAAAUUCGUAGAUAUUCGGAAGAACACCAGUGGCGAAGGCGGCUCACUGGACACAUACUGACGCUGAGGUGCGAAAGCGUGGGGAGCAAACAGGAUUAGAUACCCCGGUAGUCC
rnacentral:rRNA from 1 species